AUGGCGCCGCCGCCUCCCUCCCCGCGCCCCCGCUGCAGCGCCACCGCCUCCCUCCCGGCGCCCCCGCUGCAGCGCCACCGCCUCCCUCCCGGCGCCCCCGCUGCAGCGCCGCUGCCUCCCUCGCCGCGCCCCCACUGCAGCACCGACGCCGCCCUCGCGCACCCGCGUAGCCGUCUCCCCAGCGCCCUCGUGACCCGCGCGCCUCCGCGCCGCUCGGGCCAUGGAUCCGGCCAUGCCGCGGCGGUCAGGCGACGGAUCCAGCCCCGCUGCACCGCCCAGGCGCCGGGGUCGAGCGCCGCCGUUCCCCAGCGCUGUCCCGGCGACUGCCCCCAACCCCCUCCAACUCCCCUCGUCCUUGCCCCCCGAGCAGCAACAUGGAUCCGGCGGGCGGCGCACACCCUUACCUCCACCAGCCCGAGCGCCCCGCUGGCGUGCCUCCAGCACUGGCUCUGCGCGGCGCAGCAGUCCACUCCUCCCACGCCGCCCACACCCUCCCAUCUACCGGAUCAGGUCGCGGCUCCCCUCGUGGUCGUAUCUUCCUCCCCUGCGGCAGCUCCACCCCGGCCCCAGCGGAACCACUCCUCUGGCUCAAGAUCCAUGGAGUCUGGCGACCACGGACGUGCAGCUCGCAGGCAUGAGAUGUGGUUCAGUGCUCCUGUGGGUGUAGUUCAUGAGCGCGCCGGUGACGAUGGCAGCAAGGCAGUGCACUCCGGUAGUUGCCGUGGUGCACUCUGGUGGCCGUUGUGGUACAGCUCAGUGGCUGGCCAGGUGAGGUUUGCUUUUCCUCUGCUUGUGGUUAAUCUGAGCACGAGCUUCAUCACCUCGGUGCUUUUGUUGUGCAGCUUGGUGACGCGACAGGUGCAGUCAGCUGAGCAGACACUCUUCUCCAAGCGAGAAGAGGAGGGCGAUCUUGGUUCCUGUCCACGUGCAGUUUCAGGCGAUGCGCCCAUGCGGUGUGGAGCACAUGUGCAUGUAGUCCGUCGGCCAUGCGUGUAG
rnacentral:rRNA from 1 species